rnacentral:rRNA from 1 species
UAACAAGGAUUCCCCUAGUAACUGCGAGUGAAGCGGGAAGAGCUCAAAUUUGAAAUCGGGCGGUCGAGAGGCCUCCCCGAGUUGUAGUCUGGAGAAGCGCUUUCGGCGCCGGACCGUGUACAAGUCCCCUGGAACGGGGCGUCGUAGAGGGUGAGAAUCCCGUCUCUGACACGGACGCCCGGUGCCCUGUGAUGCGCUCUCGAAGAGUCGAGUUGUUUGGGAAUGCAGCUCAAAACGGGUGGUAAAUUCCAUCUAAAGCUAAAUAUUGGCGAGAGACCGAUAGCGAACAAGUACCGUGAGGGAAAGAUGAAAAGCACUUUGAAAAGAGAGUUAAACAGUACGUGAAAUUGCUGAAAGGGAAACGCUUGAAGCCAGUCGCGUCGGCCGGGACUCAGCCCUCACCAGGCGCACUUCCCGGUCGACGGGCCAGCAUCGAUUUCGACCGUCGGAAGAGGGCGGGAGGAACGUGGCACCCUCGGGUGUGUUAUAGCCUCCCGUCGGACGCGACGGCCGGGAUCGAGGAACUCGGCACGCCUUCACGGUCGGGGCUUCGGCCCACGCAUCGUGCCCAGGAUGCUGGCGUAAUGGCUUUAAACGACCCGUCUUGAAACACGGACCAAGGAGUCCAACGUGCCUGCGAGUGUUUGGGUGGAAAACCCGAGCGCGCAGCGAAAGCGAAGGUCGAGAUCCCCGUCGCGGGGAGCAUCGACGCCCGGACCGGCGACGGCUCCGCGGUGGAGCACGCACGUUGGGACCCGAAAGAUGGUGAACUAUGCCUGAAUAGGGCGAAGCCAGAGGAAACUCUGGUGGAGGCUCGUAGCGAUUCUGACGUGCAAAUCGAUCGUCGAAUUUGGG